rnacentral:tRNA from 1 species
AGCAGGGGUAAAUGGGUAGCAACAGCAUUCAUAAUGCUGGGGUCGGCGGUUCAAGUCCGCCCCUAGCUACCA